rnacentral:tRNA from 1 species
CAUUAAGUGGCUGAAAAUUUUUAAAGCAUUGGUCUCUUAAACCAAAUUAUAGUAUAUUAAAACCUACUCUUAAUGG